UUAUUUUAGAGAAGAAAAUUAUUCUACAAAACAAAGAACACCCCAAGUGUGUUUGUGAUCUGUUUCAGUGGUGCGCCAUCUCCCUGGGGACAAGAAUCUGCAGGGCUCCCUCUGCCCCUCUUUAGGAGGCUCUGGUAGCACCCCACUGUGUACAUCUUCCUGACUUGAGACUUCAUGACAAUUCAGCCCAUUAGGAAGGCCUGAGGCAGCUGCAAGAAAAGAUUGGGUGAGCGGAGGGACCCAGCCAACAUCCCACCUGCUCAACGCAUCACCUGAAGUGAAUAGGAAUUUAAGAAACUUCCUUGUCCCAGGCUGCUACCACUGAGGUCAUGAAGCAAGUCAGAAUCUCACAUUUCAAGAAUGCAAUCUAGGCACAGGAAGAAGUUGAGACAGGGAGUGCCAUCUCUGUCCUACUGGAGAUGUAUAAUGAGGGUAGGGAACCUAAUGCUGGGAUGAAAGUGACCAAGAUUAUCAACACAAACAGAGUCGAAGCAACUCAGCCAUUCUCAGAAUGAACAACAAGCCCAGCGGUUCCCUUGACUGCCAGCGGAGGCUUCACUCCCACCACACACUAAGGAAAUCCACUGUUCACCAGCCUCUGCUGAACGAUGGCAUGUGUGGAAUAAUCAGUUUCUGCAAAUCAAAUAAUUGGUGAUAGCUUCGGUAGGGAACAGAAGAAUGGUAGAGCACAGAAGGUUUUCAAAACAGAAGUUGCUGAUUUGCUAAUCAAAAAAAUCUCAUCACUCAGGUUGGUUUGUAUUCAGAACAGGAUCCACUGUUUAUGAAACUCCAUAAGCCUGCAUGGUUGCUUAUGGGAUGGCUGAAAAUAGUGUGACUGCCCAGGACAUUUGUGUGGUGAAAGCCCCUGCCCCAGUAGACUACUGAAAACAUGGGCACAUCUGAGCCUUUAACAAAGGCCUCACACCAAAGCUGCAACUAGUCUCUGGGAUACUGGGCUUCUCUGUUUCCUCACACAUCAGGAGUAUGGUAGCACAGGGAUGUGGAGAGAUGUGGAGAGAUGGAGGGGUGUGGUGGGAGAGCACUGAGCUCCCAGUCUCUUGGGUUCUGUGACCCUCCUGCGGGUCGACGGAGGCUUUGAUGGUGGAGGCUGACCAUCACACAUGCAGGCACUUG
rnacentral:lncRNA from 1 species